CUGUAUCCUCACAUACCGCAUUCCCCUCCUUGCAGGUUAUUCACGUCCUGCGCCUUCGAAGUGAUCGCAGAUAACGCCUUCUCAAAACUGAAGCACUUGGAGUAUUUGUUCAUCGAAAACAACACCAUCAAAUCAAUCUCUCGGAAUGCAUUACGUGGACUGCGGUCUCUGAUUCACUUGAGUUUGGCUAAUAAUCAUCUGGAGUCUCUUCCAAGUGAGUUGUUUCGGCCCCUGACGGCCAUAAAACACAUGUAAGUACAAAG